CUCAGGGUGAGAGAAGGCAAGGCGAGGAGAGGAGCUUGGGGACAUAGCAGUAAGGUUUAGAAGUGUGUGGACCUUAACUGCUUAUUGUAGGGUCCCUGGGCUGGAAUUCAGUAUAGAAGGUGGGCCUGGGUUCCCUUACCAGUCACUAGGGAAGUGGCACCUUCAAGAGCCAGUGAAUGGGAAGACUGCCUGGGAUGUUGGGUCCUGAAAGAUUUUGAUACACACACCCUUGAAAGGCUAAAACUACAGUGACCUGGCUGGAAGACCAAGCCAUGAAGCAGGGGCAGUCAAGUCCCAGGAGAGACAGAGUGACAGAAUUUCAGGAAGCAGUGUUGGCCUGGCAGAGCUAAUCCCCAGAUGCAGCCAGAAGGAGGCACCCUGGAUGUUUUGAUCCAUGGCAUGUUUUGCCUUUGAUUCCAUGACCACUGAACUUCUUUAGGAGCCACUUGUGCAAGACUUUUCUGAAGUCAAAAUAAAUUGUCAGCUGUUUCUCAUUUA